GACGAACGCUGGCGGCAGGCCUAACACAUGCAAGUCGAACGAGGGGCGGACGGGUGAGUAAUGUCUGGGAAACUGCCUGAUGGAGGGGGAUAACUCCUGGAAACGGUAGCUAAUACCGCAUACCAUCAGAUGUGCCCAGAUGGGAUUAGCUUUUGGGUGGGGUAAAGGCUCACCAAGGCGUCGAUCCCUCGCUGGUCUGCGAGGAUGACCAGCAACAUUGGAACGGUGACACGGUCCAUACUCCUACGGGAGUCAGCAGUGGGUAAUAUUGCACAAUGGGCGCAAGCCUGAUGCAGCCAUGCAGCGUGUAUGAAGAAGGCCUUCGGGUUGUAAAGUACUUUCUGCGGGGAGGCGUUACCCGCAGAAGAAGCACCGGCUAACUCCGUGCCAGCAGCCGCGGUAAUUC
rnacentral:rRNA from 1 species